AGUGAACGCUGGCGGUAGGCCUAACACAUGCAAGUCGAACGGCAGCACAGUAAGAGCUUGCUCUUACGGGUGGCGAGUGGCGGACGGGUGAGGAAUACAUCGGAAUCUACUUUUUCGUGGGGGAUAACGUAGGGAAACUUACGCUAAUACCGCAUACGACCUACGGGUGAAAGCAGGGGAUCUUCGGACCUUGCGCGAUUGAAUGAGCCGAUGUCGGAUUAGCUAGUUGGGGGGGUAAAGGCCCACCAAGGCGACGAUCCGUAGCUGGUCUGAGAGGAUGGUCAGCCACACUGGAACGGAGACACGGUCCAGACUCCUACGGGAGGCAGCAGUGGGGAAUAUUGGACAAUGGGCGAAAGCCUGAUCCAGCCAUGCCGCGUGUGUGAAGAAGGCCUUCGGUUUGUAAAGCCUUUUUUGUGGGAAAGAAGGGCAGUAGGUUAAUACCCCGCUGUUUUGACGGUACCAAAAGAAUAAGCACCGGCUAACUUCGUG
rnacentral:rRNA from 1 species